UACGGGGGGGGCAAGCGUUGUUCGGAAUUACUGGGCGUAAAGGGCUCGUAGGCGGCCAACUAAGUCGGACGUGAAAUCCCCAGGCUUAACUUGGGAACUGCGUCCGAUACUGGAUGGCUUGAAUCCGGGAGAGGGAUGCGGAAUUCCAGGUGUAGCGGUGAAAUGCGUAGAUAUCAAGAGGAACACCAGUGGCGAAGGCGAGUCCCUGGACAACACCUGACACUGAGGCACGAAAGCUAGGGGAGCAAACAGG
rnacentral:rRNA from 1 species